rnacentral:rRNA from 1 species
UGGGGGAGUAUUGCACAAUGGAGGAAACUCUGAUGCAGCAACGCCGCGUGAGGGAAGAAGGAUUUCGGUUCGUAAACCUCUGUCUUCGGUGACGAAAAUGACGGUAGCCAAGGAGGAAGCCACGGCUAACUACGUGCCAGCAGCCGCGGUAAUACGUAGGUGGCAAGCGUUGUCCGGAAUUACUGGGUGUAAAGGGAGCGCAGGCGGGAAAUCAAGUUGGAUGUGAAAUGUCGGGGCUUAACCCCGGAACUGCAUCCAAAACUGAUAUUCUUGAGUGAAGUAGAGGUAGGCGGAAUUCCGAGUGUAGCGGUGAAAUGCGUAGAUAUUCGGAGGAACACCAGUGGCGAAGGCGGCCUACUGAGCUUUAACUGACGCUGAGGCUCGAAAGUGUGGGGAGCAAACAGGAUUAGAUACCCUGGUAGU